rnacentral:lncRNA from 1 species
UCCAGUCAAUCAGGCCCACGUAACGAGACCCCAAGGAAAGCUGGGCGCCGGGCUUGGGUGCACCUGCCCGAGGUGGACGCAGGAGCGUGCUGGGGGGGCCCCUUCCUGGAGUCCACAGGGACAGGCCACAGACGCUCAGGGCUGGCCCGUGUGUCUCCUCACAGAGGAGGAGACUGCCCCCGGCCCGCGUCCCUCCUGAUAACACCUCGGGGCUCGGUGAGUCUGUCCCCCGGAUUACAGAACCGGGUGUGGGGCGGGAGGAGCGCACGGGCACCCCGGCUCGGUAGCCAGUUGGUCAGAAGCGCAGUGGCUCCGCGUCCCUCACAGGUGGCUGGAGGAGUGUGUGAGGAGGUGACACUGCCGUUGGGGACCUGCCCCUUCACCCAGUGGGGUGUGCACCACUUGCAGGAGGUCAGUGAGGAACCGGGCUCAGUACCCCGGCUGGGGGGGCAGGACGAGGCGGCUUCCUUCCGGGGCGGGACGGGCCCACACAGGGGACGAACGCGCGCAGGAAGCAAGGACACGGAAGGGCCCGAGUCAGAGAGCGACUCGGAGCAGCCCUUUCUGAGAGCGAGGGCACGUCAGGACCAGCGAACUCACCUACCCCGCUUUUAUUUUCUUCUGUACACAUGCAGAGAGUGCGCUGUGACCAAAUGCUGUGAUGAAAGGGGUCCAGGGAGCCCCCGUGUGAACGUGAAACACAACUUCUACACGACAAGGCGCGGGCAUAGUUUCACACGCAGCGUUCCGUCUUCCCUAGAGGCGCCUAAAGUAGUGGUGACAAAAUGUGGGUGCAGACAACACGGUCCAGAGAGACGCUCGCCCUGGACAGUCCGCGGGGGCCUCCUGGGCCUCCCGAAGGGACCAGAGGAGCAGAGCCCCCCCCGGGAAUGGCCUCGACAGACACCGGGAGGGACUGCGGAAAGUUCCACUCCUUUCACAGUUUCUGAAAACUCUCAGAGAACCUCCUCCACUGGUAAAAUCUAUUUCUGGGGCGCCUGGGUGGCUCCGACCCUUGAGGUUGGCUCGGGUCAUGAUGCCAGGGUCGUGGGACUGAGCCCCAGGUCAGGGUCCGCCCUGAGUGCGGAGCCUGCCUAG